AUUGAACGCUGGCGGCAUGCCUUACACAUGCAAGUCGAACGGCAGCACGGGUGCUUGCCCCUGGUGGCGAGUGGCGAACGGGUGAGUAAUACAUCGGAACAUGUCCUGUAGUGGGGGAUAGCCCGGCGAAAGCCGGAUUAAUACCGCAUACGAUCCACGGAUGAAAGCGGGGGACCUUCGGGCCUCGCGCUAUAGGGUUGGCCGAUGGCUGAUUAGCUAGUUGGUGGGGUAAAGGCCUACCAAGGCGACGAUCAGUAGCUGGUCUGAGAGGACGACCAGCCACACUGGGACUGAGACACGGCCCAGACUCCUACGGGAGGCAGCAGUGGGGAAUUCUGGACAAUGGGCGAAAGCCUGAUCCAGCAAUGCCGCGUGUGUGAAGAAGGCCUUCGGGUUGUAAAGCACUUUUGUCCGGAAAGAAAUCCUUGACUCUAAUACAGUCGGGGGAUGACGGUGCCGGAAGAAUAAGCACCGGCUAACUACGUG
rnacentral:rRNA from 1 species